rnacentral:RNase_P_RNA from 2 species
GCGGAUGGCCGGAUGACCGCGUGGGGGCAACCCUGCGAGGAAAGUCCGGACUCCAUGAGGCAAGGGUGCCGGGUAACGCCCGGCCGGGGCAACCCGAGGGAAAGCGCCACAGAGAACAGUCUGCCCCAUCGGCCGCAAGGUCCGGGGUGAUGGUGAAACGGCGGGGUAAGAGCCCACCGCAGGUCUGGCAACAGAACUGGCACGGCAAGCCCCACCCGGAGCAAUGCCGAAUAGGGGCCUCGCGUGGGCUGGUCAUCGGGUGCAAGCCCGAAGAUACCGCCACAGGGACGCUUCAGCCCAGAGGCCCGGGUUGGCAGCUAGAUCCCGCCGGUAACGGCGGGGCCAGAGGAAUGGUCAUCGAAGGGACGCAAGUCCUGGAACAAAAUCCGGCUUACAGGCCAUCCGCGCAU